rnacentral:lncRNA from 1 species
CCGGAAGUGACGACUCGGCACAAUGUUCUCAUUUGUCAUCAUGCCAGGAGAGUGAAGGUGGUGUUAGCUAGACACAUUUCAGGCACCUUCGAGCCAAAUUGAAUUAUCGUAACAUCUAUUUCUUUAUCAAUAUUUUUUUGUUUACGUGCACAUCCCGUGGAUGAGAUGCACACACCAUAACUAUAUCUGAAGGAAUAAGGUACCGCUGACUUGCUACCUCUGUAAUACGCGCAUGCGUGGAUCGGCACCAGCUGUAUCCGCCGUAAGCGGAUGGACCAGUGCAAGCAUUAAAAACAAGUGGCUUAAUCAAGCAAGAACAACAGAGUUGAUGGUUGUCUACCUACUGAUCACCUGA